CACCUCCUCACCCCGAGCCAGACCUCCACCUCCUCACCCCGAGCCAGACCUCCACCUCCUCACCCAGAGCCAGACCUCCACCUCCUCACCCAGAGCCGGACCUCCACCUCCUCACCCAGAGCCGGACCUCCACCUCCUCACCCAGAGCCGGACCUCCACCUCCUCACCCAGAGCCGGACCUCCACCUCCUCACCCAGAGCCAGACCUCCACCUCCUCACCCAGAGCCGGACCUCCACCUCCUCACCCAGAGCCAGACCUCCACCUCCUGUCAGAAGUCCUCCAGAACAGCUGAAAGGCGAGGCUGAGAGGCUGGAGACCGGAGGCUUAUUGUGCCAGGAUGGACCGGAGACUGAGGCUGGAGACCAGGGGCCUGCAGCACCGGACCAGUGACCAGGAAUCCAUGGCUGAAGGAGCUGAUGGAGGAGCCGUGCUGAAGGAGCUGAUGGAGGAGCCGUGCUGAAGGCCCUGCCUGGUUGAGGAUCUGGUGGAGGCCCUGCCUGGUGAAGGACGUCUGUCGUGGGACCACGACUCUGUCUGAGGAGAGCUGCUGGAGGACGACUAGGAAUCGACCAACAAGGAUUCCUCAGACCAAUUACGUUUGUAACCAGACCAGGAAUCUGGAGGACUGAUGGAGAAGCCGUACAUCUGGAAGGCAAAUCCUGAGGACGACCAAGACUCUACCAUCAAGGAUUCCUCACACACCUGAGCUGAACCCGCCCUGAUCCUGACAUCCUGCUGGUCCCGUCUCCUCAGUUAAUCUGAGCCUCGUCCUCCCGAAGACCUGCUGAGCUCAGCAGUCUGAGGCUGAUGGAUCAAUGACCUCCAGUGGGAGUGAUCUUCUUAACCCCACAUGUAACCGUGUGCUUCCACACGCCUUUCCCUCACGUAUGUCAUUAACCUCACUACUUCACUACUCUCUACUGCUUCCUCUUCUUCUUCCUUCUCUGUCGUUCGAACCUUUACACGGAAGGCGCGUCUUCCUGCCCUCAGAGGGUUUAGCGUUAGGGUUGAGUGUCAGGGUUUAGAGUCAGGGACAGAGCUGGGCAGGGAGGACUGCUUUUACACAAACCUCACUUGCUUUCGGAAUGGUGGUUACAUUUUGAAAAGAUUCAUUCGGGAAAAUGUUUUCAUCUGCUUCCCUUUACAAAAUUGUAUUGAACUUCUGUCAAGUGUUUUUGUUUAUAUAUUAAAAUCCCACAUUGACUUCUACAUGUUUGGUGCGGUUCAUUUAUUUGUCCUUUAACUUGGUUAAUGUCAAGCUAAACUCCUGCAAUACAUUUAAUAUACAUGAUUGUUAUUCAGCAAUGUUCACAUAAUCCAUUUAGUAAAAAUAUGAAACCUCAAUAUUACUAAAAAAUUCAAGCCUAUUCAUGUAUUUAACAAUGUACAUACUGCCCUG